GUUUUUAAGUUAGUAGCUUCACCGUGGACGUCUUCAGGGAGAUCCCUGGAGAGUCGAACCCAUUCCCUGCUGAUCUGAGCUCAGAUAUACCUUCAUAUGUUACUGAUCAUGACCACUGUGACUGCCUACAUUCAGUGUGGCUGAAGACUUUCACUCCACACGACAAAAUCUGAAGCACCCGCGUGAGAUGACCUCAUUUAUCUGAUUCAGUCUCUGAGAGUUUUCCUCAGGAGAACAUCUCUGAAACACACUUUUCAGUGGAAGUGCUGCAGAUCGCUGGCUGUUAAUGGAGCAGAGAAGAUUCAUAAAUCAAGAGUUUCGUCUGAGUUCUGCGUGACUUUCUGUGCUUCUCAACACAAGCACACGCGUGUUCACACACUCGCUGCACGUCAGGCCUUACUCGAGCUGAUGAAUUACACACGGGGCUUUGGUGUACAAAUUUUGUUUUGCUGUGUAAUUGAAACUCAUCAUUCAAAACUUGAUGCGGAGCGUUUAGCGUUAAUAUCUAAGAGGCUGUUUGAAAAAGAGGAUGUUUGGUCGCCGUUUUUGCGUGAAUCUCAAGAAAAAAGAAGAAAUUACAGUUUGCAGAUUUUUUUUUAAAAUGUCCAUUAUUUAUUUAUUUAUUUAUUAGAAUUAAAUAUGUUGCCCACCAAAUUUUUAUAACAUUAAU